UCAGCUUGUUGGUGGGGUAAUGGCUUACCAAGGCUACGACGUGUAGCGGGUGUGAGAGCAUGACCCGUCUCACUGGAACUGAGACACUGUCCAGACUCCUACGGGAGGCUGCAGUCAGGAAUCUUCCUCAAUGGACGAAAGUCUGAAGGAGCAAUGCCGCGUGAUCGAUGAAGCUUUUCGGAGUGUAAAGAUCUUUUAUCAAGGACGAAUUCGUGACGGUACUUGAUGAAUAAGUCACUGCUAACUACGUGCCAGCAGCAGCGGUAAUACGUAGGUGGCGAGCGUUACCCGGAUUGAUUGGGCGUAAAGGGUCCGCAGGCGGUUUGAGUAGUCAUUGGUCAAAUCUUGAGGCUUAACCUCAAGACUGCUAAUGAUACUCUCAAACUAGAGACUGGGAGAGGCAAACGGAAUUGCCGGUGUAGUAGUAAAAUGCGUUGAUAUCGGUAGGAACACCAAAAGCGAAGGCAGUUUGCUAGAACAGUUCUGACGCUCAGGGACGAAAGCGUGGGUAGCGAAUGGGAUUAGAUACCCCAGUAGUCCACGCCGUAAACGAUGGGUACUAAGAAUUAGGAGUAUCGACCCUCUUAGUUCUGUUUAACUAAGCUAACGCCUUAAGUACCCCGCCUGGGAAGUACGGUCGCAAGACUAAA
rnacentral:rRNA from 1 species